UUUUUUUGAAUAGAAACUACCAACAUUUUAACAAAUUGAUUUUUGCUGAAAAUAAACAUAAUAAAGUAGUAUUUUAAAACCUCAAAGUGAGGGAUUUCCCUGCAACAAAAUUUAGGAUUAUUUAGCUGUCUCCAAGAGGACAAAUAAAACUGUGAACAUAAUGGUUGACUUAUUGAGAAAGAAAAAUAUAUUAUACAAAGACCAGAAAACAGUGGAAGAGAAAGGUCUGUAAUGGCUUGGCUGCUGAAGGACAUUUCUACCCUCAUGCCAGCACUAAGUGCUCUUCCCAAUGAAUAAACCAUAUGUCCAUUUUUAUAUGCUUCCUUUCACUUAGAUCCUGCUACUUCACAAUAUUCCCU
rnacentral:lncRNA from 1 species